UUCUUUCUAGAAACACUUUCCAGUACCUCUACUUUGUUACGACUUAUUCCAAUUUAUUAAUGAAAGCGACGGGCAAUAUGUACAUAUUUCAAUUUUUAAUCAUUUUAAUAAAUUAAAUAAAAUUACAUUUAAAUCCACCUUCCAAUAUUUAUUAAAAAAUAUUAUUCAUUUAAUUAUUUCUUAUUGUAAUCCAUUUUAUUCUUAAUUAUAAUCUGCAUCUUGAUCUGAAUUAAUUUAUUUUAAAAAUUUUUAAAUAUUAUUUUUAUUAAAAAAUAUUUUUUUAACAACGAUAUACAAAAUUUAUAAAUUAAGUAAAUUUAUUCGUGGAUUAUCAAUUAUUAAACAGAUUCCUCUAAAUGAACUAAAAUACCGCCAAAUUAUUUAAGUUUCUAUAAAUAAUCAUAUACUAUUUUAGUAUUUUAAUUUAAUUUUUA
rnacentral:rRNA from 1 species